rnacentral:rRNA from 1 species
CGUGCCUAAUACAUGCAAGUCGAACGAACGGAGGAAGAGCUUGCUCUUCCAAAGUUAGUGGCGGACGGGUGAGUAACACGUGGGCAACCUGCCUGUAAGUUGGGGAUAACUCCGGGAAACCGGGGCUAAUACCGAAUGAUAGAGUGUGGCGCAUGCCACGCUCUUGAAAGAUGGUUUCGGCUAUCGCUUACAGAUGGGCCCGCGGUGCAUUAGCUAGUUGGUAGGGUAAUGGCCUACCAAGGCAACGAUGCAUAGCCGACCUGAGAGGGUGAUCGGCCACACUGGGACUGAGACACGGCCCAGACUCCUACGGGAGGCAGCAGUAGGGAAUCUUCCGCAAUGGACGAAAGUCUGACGGAGCAACGCCGCGUGUAUGAAGAAGGUUUUCGGAUCGUAAAGUACUGUUGUUAGAGAAGAACAAGGAUAAGAGUAACUGCUUGUCCCUUGACGGUAUCUAACCAGAAAGGCAUGGUUACUACGUGCAGCAGUCGCAGUAUUAUGUAGGUGGCUAGCGUUGUCCGGAUUUAUUGGGCGUAAGCGCGCGCGGCGGUCUUUUUAAGUGUGAUGUGAACAGCGCCGUGGCUUCACCGGGGAGGGUCAUUGGAAACUGGUAAGACUGGAGUGCAGAGAGGAGAGCGGAUUUCCACGUGAGCGUGAAAUUGCGAGAUAUGUGGAGGAACACCAGUGGCGAGGGCGACUCUCUGGUCUGUAACUGACGUGAGGCGCGAAGCGUGGGGAGCAAACAGGAUAGAUACCUUGGUAGUCCACGCCGUAAACGAUGAGUGCUAAGUGUUAGGGGGUUUCCGCCCUUUAGUGCUGCAGCUAACGCAUUAAGCACUCCGCCUGGGGAGUACGACCGCAAGGUUGAAACUCAAAGGAAUUGACGGGGGCCCGCACAAGCGGUGGAGCAUGUGGUUUAAUUCGAAGCAACGCGAAGAACCUUACCAGGUCUUGACAUCCUUUGACCACUCGGGAGACAGAGCUUUCCCUUCGGGGACAAAGUGACAGGUGGUGCAUGGUUGUCGUCAGCUCGUGUCGUGAGAUGUUGGGUUAAGUCCCGCAACGAGCGCAACCCUUGAUUUUAGUUGCCAGCAUUCAGUUGGGCACUCUAAAGUGACGCCGGUGCAAGCCGGAGGAAGGUGGGGAUGACGUCAAAUCAUCAUGCCCCUUAUGACCUGGGCUACACACGUGCUACAAUGGAUGGUACAAAGGGUCGCGAAGCCGCGAGGUGGAGCCAAUCCCAUAAAACCAUUCUCAGUUCGGAUUGUAGGCUGCAACUCGCCUACAUGAAGCCGGAAUCGCUAGUAAUCGUGGAUCAGCAUGCCACGGUGAAUACGUUCCCGGGCCUUGUACACACCGCCCGUCACACCACGAGAGUUUGUAACACCCGAAGUCGGUAGGGUAACCUUUAUGGAGCCAGCCGCCG